UUGAAUGAACUUGGCAUGAUUGUAGCUGGUCCUUUCGAGGGCAUGUGCACAUCUGUCAUCUUUAUCUUUCCACCUGUGCACCAAUUGUAGGUCUAAAAAUUUUAGCAUGGGGCGUUGCUGUGUGUUACCACCAGCUUGCCCUGCAUUUUCUAGAUCUAUGUUUUCACAUACACCAUAAAAUGUAAUAGAAUGUUAUUAUUGGGCUUUUAUUGCCUAUAAACUAUAUA
rnacentral:misc_RNA from 1 species